CAAGUCGCACGAGAACGCCCUGGCUUGCCAGGCUAGUAAGUGGCGCACGGGUGAGUAACGCGUGGCUAAUCCACCUUUGGGUUUGGGAUAACGCACCGAAAGGUGCGCUAAUACCGGAUAUGACCACGGUGUCUGCGGACGCUAGGGGUAAAAGGGGGCCUCUACAUGUAAGCUCCCACCCAAAGACGAGGCCGCGUCCCAUUAGCUUGUUGGUGAGGUAACGGCUCACCAAGGCCGCGAUGGGUAGCUGAUCUGAGAGGAUGAUCAGCCACACUGGAACUGGAACACGGUCCAGACUCCUACGGGAGGCAGCAGUGAGGAAUCUUGCGCAAUGGGGGAAACCCUGACGCAGCCACGCCGCGUGGGUGAAGAAGGUCUUCGGAUCGUAAAGCCCUGUCAGGUGGGAAGAACCGCAGUCGGGUGAAUAAUCUGGCUGCCUGACGGUACCACCAAAGGAAGCACCGGCUAACUCCGUGCCAGCAGCCGCGGUAA
rnacentral:rRNA from 1 species